rnacentral:rRNA from 1 species
GACAUCCAGCGAACUUGGCAGAGAUGCCUUGGUGCCUUCGGGAACGCUGAGACAGGUGCUGCAUGGCUGUCGUCAGCUCGUGUUGUGAAAUGUUGGGUUAACGUCCGCAACGAGCGCAACCCUUAUCCUUUGUUGCCAGCGAUUCGGUCGGGAACUCAAAGGAGACUGCCGGUGAUAAACCGGAGGAAGGUGGGGAUGACGUCAAGUCAUCAUGGCCCUUACGAGUAGGGCUACACACGUGCUACAAUGGCGCAUACAAAGAGAAGCGACCUCGCGAGAGCAAGCGGACCUCAUAAAGUGCGUCGUAGUCCGGAUCGGAGUCUGCAACUCGACUCCGUGAAGUCGGAAUCGCUAGUAAUCGUGGAUCAGAAUGCCACGGUGAAUACGUUCCCGGGCCUUGUACACACCGCCCGUCACACCAUGGGAGUGGGUUGCAAAAGAAGUAGGUAGCUUAACCUUCGGGAGGGCGCUUACCACUUUGUGAUUCAUGACUGGGGUGAAGUCGUAACAAGGUAGGCGUAGACGU